AUGUGGGCUAGUUGACCCACUUGGCCCGUUAUACCAUUUAGGCACAUGACAUAACCAUCAAUAUUUUGGUUGUUUCUUUUUUUUUGCAAAUUUUUGUCCCUUUCGUUAUGGAUGAACACUGGUCCUUAGUUGUGGUGGAACCUGAUAUAGAAGUUAUAAUUGUUCUUGAUUCCUAUAAUGAAUUGGAGGACUCCACAGAACGUCAUGCACAACUGAUAAAUGCACUGAAAGGUCAUCUUUGUUCUUCACUAGGCCUGCAAUCUGCUAACUACAGCAUUAUUACACCAGUAGUUCAGAAGCAAAACAAUCAUGAUGAUUGUGGUUUUCAUAUGCUUCUGUACAUAAU